AUUCCAAUGCGCUUCAUUGGGUCUUUAAUGUCACAAACCAGCAAUUUCUCUACUGAAUUCAUACAUUUAUCCUUAAGCUGGAUUCAUAUAGUUUAUUAGUAAACAUGGAGAGAUGUAUCCUACUGAUUCUCAUAACAGUGACAGGUGUAUUUGCUGACAGCAUUAAACCAAAAGACACCAAUAUAAUGAAAAGUGAAGGAGAUUCUGUGACACUGAGCUGCACGUAUGAAACAACUAGCCGUGAUGUUUUGCUUUACUGGUACAGACAGAAUCCGAACAGAGAACCUCAGUAUUUACUUCGAAAAGGUGCUCGAUCAUGGAGUGGUUAUGAGGAUAUACCAGACAAACAUUUUCAGUCAGAAACAUCUGAAUCAUCCACUGAACUCAUUAUUAAGAGUGUGUCUCUGUCAGAUUCAGCUCUAUAUUACUGUGCUCUGAGAGUUGGAGCCCAGUGA